CCAGCUGCGUCUCGUCUGGUAUCGGCGAGAUUAGAUAGCACGGAUUGAGGGAGAUGGUGCCCAUGGGCCGUGUUUUCUUCCUUCUGGGCAUACUCGGCGCUGCGCUGGUCCUCCUCUCGUCCCUCGCAGCCGCUCAGACGCCACCGUUCCCGCCCAAUCCCCAAGGUGAGUUGUCUUCACGGAACUACUGUAGGAGGCUUCUUUCUACGUGGGUGAUCGCGUGUUUCGAUUAGGGCUGGAUAGGGUUCGUAUUCUUUGACGCAUGCGCAUGCGUCGCCCCACUGAUCCCCCUGCUCGGACUUUCCAUUCAUCAGGGGCCCGCCCCGUGGCGGAAUGGCAAGGGAACUCAACCACAGGACGCUGCUGUGAACGCUGUUGCGCGAUCAUCGAUGACAAAUGCUUCGGUUGCUGCACCCCUUACCCUGGGCCGCUGCCGCCGCCGCCGCCGCCGCCGCC
rnacentral:lncRNA from 1 species